rnacentral:lncRNA from 1 species
CCACGACAGCAUUUGUUAUUAUUAUUAUUAUUUUCCUGCUGUCUGCACGCUCAGGUUCAUGUGUACUUACCAGCUACAACUCCUGCAGUUCAUCAUUUACAUUUGAGGGAGUAUCAGCUCAGCAUGUACAUAUAUAUUUUUGUACCACACACACUAGAAUCAUGAUGUGCCUCGUGUAUUCGGUGCAAACUAAUUCUCUUUCUCUUUUUCACCAUACCUGCUGCUGGACUUGCUGCAUGUGUGAGCAUAUGAAUGAUGUAAGGUUCAACUACAUGUAAAUCUUCAGGUCUCACUGCUGCAAUUGGGGCAUCGAAACCUUCAACCCCUGUCCACAGAAACAGUUUUGUUAGUGUUAACCACACAUCACUUUUCACUGCAGAAAUUGAAUUUUAGUGAAUUACUUUCUGCUCCACAUCGGACACGCACCUCGCACACUUGUGACUGGAGGAAGCCCUUGUUGCCGGUUUACCUGAACGAGAAAACCAGAAACUAUUAAGCCAGCAAAACUCAUCACUGAAAUUACUGGCUUAUACAAAUGACCAGCACGUGCAUACCAUUCAUUUAUUGGACUCUUUCAUGCUGCCUUAACACUCUUGCAUCUUCCUACAUAUCCUAGCAAGCCUGGUUGGCAUGUCUUUUCUCACUGUCCGAAGACUCUAGAUCACUUUCCUCCAUUGGACCCUUCCCCUUAUCGUUCGGAGCAAUCUGAAAUCUUGGCCUGCGACGGAGUGCGUCCUCCCCAUUUACAUGUAUGUAAACUCCACGCUCAGGCUCCACUUUGCAUCACAU